rnacentral:rRNA from 1 species
UACGAGUGCCUCAAGCGUUAUCCGGAAUCAUUGGGCGUAAAGGUUGUGUAGGUGGUUUUAUUAGUCUCUUGUUAAAUUCUUCGGCUUAACCGGGGGCAUGCAAGGGAAACGGUAAAACUAGAGGAUGCGAGGGGUCUGUGGAACUCAUAGUGUAGCGGUAAAAUGCGUUGAUAUUAUGGGGAACACCAAAAGCGAAGGCAGCAGACUGGAGCACUCCUGACACUGAAACAAGAAAGCGUGGGUCGCGAAUGGG